GGUAAUGCCGGAUGUUCCACAUGAUCGCAUGUGAUUGUGGGAAAGAUUCUAUCGGCGUGGGAUGGGGUCGCGUCCUAUCAGCUUGUUGGUGAGGUAACGGCUCACCAAGGCUUCGACGGGUAGCCGGCCUGAGAGGGCGACCGGCCACAUUGGGACUGAGAUACGGCCCAGACUCCUACGGGAGGCAGCAGUGGGGAAUAUUGCACAAUGGGCGCAAGCCUGAUGCAGCGACGCCGCGUGAGGGAUGGAGGCCUUCGGGUUGUAAACCUCUUUUGUUUGGGAGCAAGCCUUCGGGUGAGUGUACCUUUCGAAUAAGCGCCGGCUAACUACGUGCCAGCAGCCGCGGUAAUACGUAGGGCGCAAGCGUUAUCCGGAUUUAUUGGGCGUAAAGGGCUCGUAGGCGGCUCGUCGCGUCCGGUGUGAAAGUCCAUCGCUUAACGGUGGAUCUGCGCCGGGUACGGGCGGGCUGGAGUGCGGUAGGGGAGACUGGAAUUCCCGGUGUAACGGUGGAAUGUGUAGAUAUCGAAAAAAAACACCCA
rnacentral:rRNA from 1 species